rnacentral:rRNA from 1 species
UACGAAGGGGGCUAGCGUUGUUCGGAAUUACUGGGCGUAAAGCGCACGUAGGCGGAUAUUUAAGUCAGGGGUGAAAUCCCAGAGCUCAACUCUGGAGCUGCCUUUGAUACUGGGGUAUCUUGAGUAUGGAAGAGGUAAGUGGAAUUGCGAGUGUAGAGGUGAAAUUCGUAGAUAUUCGCAGGAACACCAGUGGCGAAGGCGGCUUACUGGUCCAUUACUGACGCUGAGGUGCGAAAGCGUGGGGAGCAAACAGGG